GACGUAGGGCGCAAGCGUUUGUCCGGAUUUAUUGGGCGUAAAGAGCUCGUAGGCGGCUUGUUGCGUCGACCGUGAAAACCCGGGGCUCAACCCCGGGCCUGCAUUCGAUACGGGCAGACUAGAGUUCGGUAGGGGAGUCUGGAAUUCCUGGUGUAGCGGUGAAAUGCGCAGAUAUCAGGAGGAACACCGGUGGCGAAGGCGGGACUCUGGGCCGAUACUGACGCUGAGGAGCGAAAGCGUGGGGAGCAAACAGG
rnacentral:rRNA from 1 species